AGAGUUUGAUCAUGGCUCAGGACGAACGCUGGCGGCGUGCCUAAUACAUGCAAGUCGAGCGGACUAAUGGGAGCUUGCUCCCGUUAGUUAGCGGCGGACGGGUGAGUAACACGUGGGCAACCUACCUGUAAGACUGGGAUAACUUCGGGAAACCGGAGCUAAUACCGGAUGACAUCAAGGAACUCCUGUUCCUUGAUUGAAAGAUGGCCUUGGCUAUCACUUACAGAUGGGCCCGCGGCGCAUUAGCUAGUUGGUGAGGUAACGGCUCACCAAGGCGACGAUGCGUAGCCGACCUGAGAGGGUGAUCGGCCACACUGGGACUGAGACACGGCCCAGACUCCUACGGGAGGCAGCAGUAGGGAAUCUUCCGCAAUGGACGAAAGUCUGACGGAGCAACGCCGCGUGAGCGAUGAAGGCCUUCGGGUCGUAAAGCUCUGUUGUUAGGGAAGAACAAGUGCUAGUUGAAUAAGCUGGCACCUUGACGGUACCUAACCAGAAAGCCACGGCUAACUACGUGCCAGCAGCCGCGGUAAUAC
rnacentral:rRNA from 1 species